UACAGAGGAUGCAAGCGUUGUUCGGAAUUAUUGGGCGUAAAGCGCGUGUAGGCGGCUUGGCAAGUCGGGUGUGAAAGCCCUCAGCUCAACUGAGGAAGUGCGCCCGAAACUGCUUUGCUUGAGUGCUGGAGAGGGUCGCGGAAUUCCCCAAGUAGAGGUGAAAUUCGUAGAUAUGGGGAGGAACACCGGUGGCGAAGGCGGCGACCUGGACAGUAACUGACGCUGAGACGCGAAAGCGUGGGGAGCAAACAGG
rnacentral:rRNA from 1 species